UACUGGCCUUCAACAUCCCAAA
rnacentral:miRNA from 2 species